rnacentral:rRNA from 1 species
AGAGUCACUCCUACGGGAGGCAGCAGUGGGGAAUAUUGCGCAAUGGGCGCAAGCCUGACGACGCAACGCCGCGUGGAGGAUGAAGAUCUUCGGGUCGUAAACUCCUUUCGAUCGAGACGAAUGGCCUCUGGGUGAACAAUCCAGAGGAGUGACGGUACCGAGAGAAGAAGCCCCGGCUAACUCCGUGCCAGCAGCCGCGGUAAUACGGGGGGGGCAAGCGUUGUCCGGAAUCACUGGGCGUAAAGGGCGCGUAGGCGGCUUGCUAAGUAGGGGGUGAAAUCCCUCGGCUCAACUGAGGAGCGUCGAUCGAAACUGCCGUUCUUGAGGGUUGCAGAGGAGACUGGAAUUCCCGGUGUAGCGGUGAAAUGUGUAGAGAUCGGGAGGAACACCGGUGGCGAAGGCGGGUCUCUGGGCAACUCCUGACGCUGAGGCGCGAAAGCGUGGGGAGCAAACGGGAUUAGAUACCCCGGUAGUCCACGCUGUAAACGAUGACGACUAGGUGUGGGGGGGUUCAGUCCAUUCCGUGCCGCAGCUAACGCAUUAAGUCGUCCGCCUGGGGAGUACGGCCGCAAGGUUGAAACUUAAAGGAAUUGACG